CGUUUUGCGAAAUUCCAUUUUUGCCAAUUCGACCCCUCAGCAAAUAUCUCGCGAUUUCCGAAGAUCCGUCCGUCGGAUUUCCGAACGGAUCACACCAGCAUGUUCAGCAUGACUGGGGCAUCGAACCUAGCAUUUCGUUUGAUCCAAUUUGGUCGUCGAUUUGCAACGAAACCCACCAUCAAUGUUUCCACUAUAAAACACAUAUAUAUACACAUAUAUAUAUAAAUCCAAUCAAACCCCUUUUUCUCAAAAACCGUGCAUCAGAUCUGAGAUCCGUCAGCGCCAUUGGUUCUAGAAUAGCUGAACUGUUCAAAACGAGCUAUUGGAUCAGUAUAAUCGAAGUCCAAUAUGUGCCAGAAGCCAUCUUCACUCAUUGGCUUCUCCGAAAAAUCGGAGUUACUAUUCACUUAAGUUAAAACUAAAAAUCGCGUAGCUUCUCCAUCAUAACUCAUUUUCUCCUGAAACUUGACGAGUGCUUAUGUAAUUACAUUACACACAAAAACAUCGUCAAUAGAGAGUUUAGCUACACUGUCAAAAUCUUAGUCCUUACAUCAUCCCCCCCUCCCUUAAAAGAAGUUUCGUCCCCGAAACUUGACCAUGUACCCACCGUAAUCAAAAUCAGACAUUGCUCC
rnacentral:lncRNA from 1 species